UUACGCCCAUAUCCCGUCGAAACACUUGUUCCCCUAAGAACACUGAAAUUAAGCGGCGUAGAGCCUGAUCAGUACCUAGAUGGCUGACCGUUUGAGAAUACAAGUUGCUGUAA